rnacentral:rRNA from 1 species
AUUGAACGCUGGCGGCAGGCCUAACACAUGCAAGUCGAGCGAGCGGCGGACGGGUGAGUAAUGUAUGGGGACUGCCCGAUAGAGGGGGAUAACUACUGGAAACGGUAGCUAAUACCGCAUACUAUCGGAUAACCCAGAUGGGCUUUGCUAGGGGGUGGGGUAAUGGCUCACCUAGGCGACGAUCCCUAGAUGGUGUGAGAGGGUGAUAAGCCACACUGGGACGGAGACGCGGCCCUGACUCAGACGGAGGCAGCAGUGGAGAAUAGUGCACAAUGGGAGCAAGCCUGAUGCAACCAUGCCGCGUGGAUGGAGAAGGCCCGAGUGUUGGAAAGUUCUUUUAGUCUUGAGGCGUUACCGACAGAAGAAGCACCGGCUAACUCCGUGCCAGCAGCCGCGGUAAUAC